UACGUAGGGACCGAGCGUUGUCCGGAAUCAUUGGGCGUAAAGAGCUCGUAGGCGGUCUGUCGCGUCGGAUGUGAAAAUCCAGGGCUCAACCCUGGACCUGCAUUCGAUACGGGCAGACUAGAGUUCGGUAGGGGAGACUGGAAUUCCUGGUGUAGCGGUGAAAUGCGCAGAUAUCGUAAGGAAGACCAGUGGCGAAGGCGGGUCUCUGGACAGUUCCUGACGCUGAGGCACGAAGGUCAGGGGAGCAAACGGG
rnacentral:rRNA from 1 species